rnacentral:tRNA from 1 species
GCUCUCGGCACCGGGUGGACCGGGGCCUGCUGCAGCCGGGCCCGUGGCCGUGCCUGUGGCGCCGCCGUCCGUUCCGGUGCCGCAGGCG